rnacentral:rRNA from 1 species
UACGUAGGGGGCAAGCGUUGUCCGGCAUUAUUGGGCGUAAAGCGCGUGUAGGCGGCCAGAUAAGUCCGCUGUGAAAUCUCGAGGCUCAACUUCGAGCUGUCGGUGGAAACUGUCUGGCUAGAGUCCGGAAGAGGAGAAUGGAAUUCCUGGUGUAGCGGUGAAAUGCGCAGAUAUCAGGAAGAACACCCGUGGCGAAGGCGGUUCUCUGGGACGGUACUGACGCUGAGACGCGAAAGCGUGGGGAGCGAACAGG